rnacentral:rRNA from 1 species
UACGUAGGGGGCUAGCGUUGUCCGGAAUUACUGGGCGUAAAGAGUUCGUAGGCGGUUUGUCGCGUCGUUCGUGAAAACUUGGGGCUUAACUCCAAGCGUGCGGGCGAUACGGGCAGGCUUGAGUACUACAGGGGAGACUGGAAUUCCUGGUGUAGCGGUGAAAUGCGCAGAUAUCAGGAGGAACACCGGUGGCGAAGGCGGGUCUCUGGGUAGUAACUGACGCUGAGGAACGAAAGCGUGGGUAGCGAACAGG